GAAUACUGAUCAGAAAGCACUGUGCUCGGUAGAUUGGAGGAGGGUGGGAGCAGGAGACCUACGAGAAGUGCUCUCACGAUUGUUCUGCGUGACGGGUGGCCCUACAUUAGAGGUCUGGCUGCGGAAACAGAAAGGAAUACUUAACAGCUCAUCCUUCUUCUCAUCCCAACAUGUGGAGCCAGACGGUCUUUCCCAUUAGACUUAGUUCUUUCAGCUUCCUAGGUUCCACACCAGGCAGCAACUGGGAGAUAAAACAAUCUCCCCUGGCUCCCAUUUAGCAGAUACUGGUUCUUCCAUUAAAGGAUUGCUCUCAAAGUGGAAGGCACCUGAGCAGCAAUCCCUAUAGUUUGGAUUGUGGUCACUUUUAAGACAAUGGCACUUUGGGGACUGAAAUAUGUCUCUCUUGAGGUUGUGAGAUGGUCAACUCUGACCUUAUGAUGGAAUAAGCCUUGAAGCCAACACAAAGCAUAAAUAAAAUCAAUAAGAGGACUCACGGGGAUGGUCUGUCAGUGCAGCUAGAUCUUUGCUCUCUUCAUCAGGAGUCAGCAGACAGGCAGAGGGAAGCCCGUCUAGCCUCACUUCCCAGCGCCUCUUUUGGGGGCUACUACUGCUCCUGAUGCUGCCUAAAUAGUAAACCUCUAUGAUUCAUUUUAUGUCUUUUAGGUUCCUUAUGAGGAUUUGAUUGCUAACUGAUGGGAAAGGCUUUUCCUGUUGGAUAAGGAAAGGUUUGUGAGCAAGAGACCCCCAGUCAUCCGCUACCCCUAUUAUUCCAGACUUCAGGAGCCAUGCAUGGUAGUCAGAAAAACAAAAUAUUUCCAAAGCUGUCAAGGAAUUAUUUUUUUUUUCCUGACACAGUGAAGGCAAAAACUGAAAUGCAUGUUUACACUUGGAGGUUGAUUCAUUUUAAGGAGUGCUUUCCUACAAGGAUAGGAAUUUGAUUUCAUUAAAAAAUUUUAAUAUAGAAGUGAUAUCACUCACUGCAAAGUAAAAUUGGAAUAUGGCAGAUGAAUAUAAAAUAAAAAGUAAAAUCAAAACAUUUUCAAGUUUGGGAAUAUCUUAACUCUAUGGAGUAGCCUCCUUCCAUGUUGGAAACAAAAAGGCCCUGGAGUUGCCACUAUGGCUCAGUGGGUUAAGAAUCCGAAUGCAGGAGUUCCUGUUGCGGCGCAGCAGAAAUGAACCCGACUAGGAACCACGAGGUUGCAGGUUUGAUCCUCCAUCAGUGGGUUAAGGAUCUGGCGCUGCUGUGAGCUGUAGUGUGGGUUGCAGAUGCAGCUCGGAUUUGGCAUUGCUGUGGCUGUGGUGUAGGCUGGUGGCUACAGUUCUGAUUCAACCCCUAGCCUGGGAACCUCCAUAUGCCACAGGUGCAGCCCUAAAAAAAGGAAAGAAAAAAAAAAAUAAUCUGAAUGCAGCCACUCAAGUCCCUGCGGAGGUGUGGGUUCGAUCCCCAGUCCAGCAUAGUGGGUUUGAGGACCAGGCAUUGCUGCAGCUGCAGUUUGGUCAUAACUGUGGCUUGCGUUCAAUCCAUAUGCCAUGGGUGCAGCCAUAAAAUUAAAAAUUUUUUUUAAGCUUCUAAUAUUUUGGUUCUCAAAGUGUGGCCUGGUAAACACCAACACUGGCAGCCCCCAGGAGCCUGCCGGAAAUGCAGAAGGUCAGCUUCCGCCACCAUCCUUACUGAAUCGGCAUCUGUAUUCUGAGUCACUCCAGGUCAGGGGUCAGUCUUUUCACUAAUGUUAGCCCUUUAGAAGGCCUCCCAGCUGUUCAAGAAAUGGACCUUUAGAGGUGGAUAAAAGCAGGAGGCAAAGCAGUGAGUAAUUCGCACUACAGAGUCAUGUGUGACCAGGACCCAGUUUUGGAAUGUACCACUAGAGAAUCAGAUUUGGAGUGACCUGUUAAAGAGGUGUCACUCACAAGUAGGCCACCUCCCCUUAGUCCUUAUAGUAAUUACACAUUAAUAAGAAAAUCAUAGAACCGGAGACCUUCAGAACUGAGAUGAACCAGGGAGUUCCCUUGGUGGCUCAGCAGUUAACAAACCUGACUAGGAUCCAUGAGGAUGUGGGUUCGAUCCUUGGCCUCGCUCAGUGCAUUAAGGAGCCUGUGCUGCUGUGGCUGUGGUGUAGGCUGGCAGCCGUAGCUCCGAUUUGACCCCUAGCCCGGGAACUUCCAUAUGCCACAAGUGUGGCCCUAAAAAGACCAAAAAAAGAAAAAAAGAACUGAGAUGAACCAUAGAAUAUGUAGUAGUCAGUGCAUGUGAGAACUCGAGCCUCAGACUGAGUGUGUUUCUCUCAAGUUUGGGUCUGAAGUUAAAAACCAGCAUGUUGCUGGUGCAAUUAGGGCCUCACAAGCAGUGGGACCUUGAGCAAAUUUCUUUAUUUCUUGGAGUGUCAGCCCAUCAUCUGUCGAGUCGGCCCUGCAAACUUCACUGGGUCAUCAUGUACGUAAAGAAGGGCUGUGGAAAUGCUUUGAAAACACAUGAGAACCCAGAAGGUUGCUGUGGCAGGUUGCAAGGAUGGGUCCUGGUUUCAUUCAAUUAAUUGCAUCUUGUGUGAGGUACUAUUACAGCAAAAGGGUGGUAGCCUGCUUGGAGUACAGGAAAAGGUGAGCUAAUGAAUACGAAUGUGUGACAGUGUUUUCUAUACCGUCUAGAAGAAAAGAGUCCUCGGGAUUCUCAUGUUUCAGUGUAGGCAGGGAACCAAGGAUGUUCAAUAGGCUCUGCUGAAUGAGUGCACAAACUACUAAGCUGAGAAUGGCAAUUCAGCAACAUUCAUUCAUGCAUUCAUUCAACACACACUGAGCCAGGGGGGCUGGCGAUAGAUGCAAUAAUGAACAAAAGCACAUGUUGCCCUUGCUCAGGUGGAGCUUACAAACGAAGCAAAUACUCAACUGGAUACAUACAAAUUGCCUCCUUGUUCUGCGUCACAAAAGAUCAGGGCAAGGAGUGGAGAGAACUUGACCUGGGCAGAGGGGUCAGAGAGCCUUCCUGAGGAACUGUCCCUUAAGCUAAGAGCCGAAGGAUGAGCAAGAACUCAGGUGGGAAAGAGGGGAGCGAAGGGGGUCCCAGGCAGAGGCAACAGCGUGUGCACAGGCAUUUGGGCAGGAGGGAGCACCCAGAGGCACAGUGGUGGGAAAGGCCAGGCCUGUUAGGUUGAGUGAUGGGAUGAGGCUGGGGAGGUCAGCCAGGGCCAGACCAUGCCCAGCCUGGUGCCCUGGGGUCUGGCUCGUCUCCCAAAGGGAGCCACUGAGGAACUGCUGCUGUGAUGGAGUUGGUAGCGGUGGCAGUGAAGGCUGUGUGAUUUGUAAGGAUGGGAUGUGGGGUUUGAAAGGAUCCCUCUGGCAGCAAAACGGAGUGUAACUCAGGGACACGAGGGCCGAGUGUAUGGUGCAGAGACACCAGGAGACUUUCACAGCCCAGACGAGAGCAGACAUGCUCCCCACCAAGGAAGCGCCAACUCCCACAGCCUAGUUCUCUCUCCCCUCGAAGCUCUGCUUUCCAGAGGUGCUGCCCACAAGAGGGAGGCAGGCUCUGUGCCAUGAGCUUCUCCCCUCUAGACAGAGAAACUGAACAAACUGGAGAUUCUGGCCAGAAAAUUAGUCCCUUCUGAGUCCAUGUCAAUCUGUUCCCCCAGGUAAAAUGAUAACAAUGUGAUUUCUGAAUCUGCAAGUUAAAAAUUCAGCCCAGUGGAGUUCCCUUUGUGGCUCAGCGGAAAUGAAUCUGACUAGCAUCCAUGAGGACGCAGGUUCAAUCCCUGGCCUUGCUCAGUGGCUUACGGAUCCGGUGUUGCCUUGAGCUGUGGUGUAGUUCUCAGACAUGGCUCCGAUCUGGCAGGGCUAUGGCUGUGGUAUAGGCCGGUGGCUACAGCUCAGAUUCAGCCCCUACCAUGGGAACCUCCAUAUGCCAUGGGUG
rnacentral:lncRNA from 1 species